UAUUAUGCUGGUGUUCGUGGGU
rnacentral:miRNA from 1 species